UGAUAUGGCGCAGUGGUUGUGUGACUGCCUGUGACGCAGAAGGUUCCGGGUUCAAUUCCCGGUGGGUGGGUCAA